GAUGGCGCGUUUUUCCAGAUUAAAUUUCAUAAAUAAAGGUGUAUCGUCGCAGCACGCAACACUUCGAAAGUCCCGAGCGUGGUAUUGUUACCUACACAAGUCCACAUUUUCCAUUCGUCGAUCCUGGGGACACGUACAUCGAGCGUAUUGCGAAACGAAUUUUCGAUACUGAAAUAAGAGAGAAGAGAUGAAAUAAAUAAAAUGAACAAAUUGGUUACAAUAUGAAAAUAAAGGGUCGUGAUGAUCGUAGCUAUGAGUGAUUCUACAGGCCUUUUUCGCAACGGCUCCAGUGGCGCAAUUGGUUAGCGCACGGUACUUAUAAGACAGUGUUCGUGAGCAAUGCCGGGGUUAUCUUAUCAACGUCGAUGAGGUGCAAUCGGGAUGAAUCGUUUGGAUUCCUUCGAACAAAGACUCAUUUGGAAUAGAAACGUGACGUACAACGAAUGGUCUCGCAAACAUAUUCUAAAAAUGUGAAUCCACGUAGUAAAAGUCGUUAUAGAAAUAGUCUAUUCGAUUUGGUGUCUAACGGGAUUAGACCCUUCGCUGCUUAUGUAUUAAUCGACGAUGUCACAAAGCUUGUAAGUAAAUAAAUGGAUGAUAACGACAAAUAAACAUUUUCACGUUUAACGAUUGCAAA